UUUGAUCCUGGCUCAGAACAAACGCUGGCGGCGUGCCUAACACAUGCAAGUCGUGCGAGAAAGUCCCCUUCGGGGGGCGAGUAAAGCGGCGAAAGGGUGAGUAACACGUGGGUAACCUACCCUCGGGAUCGGGAUAACGUGCCGAAAGGUGCGCUAAUACCGGAUGAGACCACGCGGACGAUGUCCGAGCGGUCAAAGAUGGCCUCUCGACGAAGUUAUUACCUGGGGAUGGGCCCGCGGCCUAUUAGCUAGUUGGUAGGGUAACGGCCUACCAAGGCUAUGAUGGGUAGCCGGCCUGAGAGGGUGUACGGCCACACUGGAACUGAGACACGGUCCAGACUCCUACGGGAGGCAGCAGUGGGGAAUUUUGCGCAAUGGGGGAAACCCUGACGCAGCAACGCCGCGUGAGUGAUGAGGGCCUUCGGGUCGUAAAGCUCUUUUGGAGGGAAAGAAAUGUGUCGUGGCCAACACCCACGGCAUUUGACGGUACCCUCAGAAAAAGUUCCGGCUAACUCCGUGCCAGCAGCCGCGGUAAUACGGAGGGAGCAAGCGUUGUUCGGAAUCAUUGGGCGUAAAGAGCGCGCAGGCGGUUGGGUAAGUCAGACGUGGAAGCCCUGGGCUUAACCCAGGAAUUGCGUUUGAAACUGCCCGGCUCGAGUUCGGGAGAGGGUGGCGGAAUUCCCAGUGUAGAGGUGAAAUUCGUAGAUAUUGGGAGGAACACCUGUGGCGAAGGCGGCUACCUGGACCGAUACUGACGCUGAGGCGCGAAAGCUAGGGGAGCGAACGGGAUUAGAUACCCCGGUAGUCCUAGCAGUAAACGAUGAUCACUAGGUGUAGGAGGUAUCGACCCCUCCUGUGCCGUAGCUAACGCAUUAAGUGAUCCG
rnacentral:rRNA from 1 species